rnacentral:rRNA from 1 species
UCCUGGGGGACGGGAUAACCUCGGGAACUGAGAAUAAUGCCCGAUAGAACAUUAUGCCUGGAAUGGUUUAUGUUUCAAAUGAUUUAUCGCCAUAGGAUGGGACUGCGGCCUAUCAGUUUGUUGGUGAGGUAAUGGCCCACCAAGACUAUUACAGGUACGGGCUCUGAGAGGAGUGGCCCGGAGAUGGGUACUGAGACACGGACCCAGGCCCUAUGGGGCGCAGCAGGCGAGAAAACUUUGCAAUGUGCGAAAGCACGACAAGGUUAAUCCGAGUGGUUUCUGCUAAAGAAACCUUUUGCCAGUCCUAGAAACACUGGUGAAUAAGGGGUGGGCAAGUUCUGGUGUCAGCCGCCGCGGUAAAACCAGCACCUCAAGUGGUCAGGAUGAUUAUUGGGCCUAAAGCAUCCGUAGCUCGUUUUGUAAGUUUUCGGUUAAAUCCAUGCGCUUAACGUAUGGGCUGCCGGGAAUACUGCAUAACUAGGAAGUGGGAGAGGUAGACGGUACUCGGUAGGAAGGGGUAAAAUCCUUUGAUCUAUUGAUGACCACCUGUGGCGAAGGCGGUCUACCAGAACACGUUCGACGGUGAGGGAUGAAAGCUGGGGGAGCAAACCGGAUUAGAUACCCGGGUAGUCCCAGCUGUAAACUAUGCAAACUCAGUGAUGCAUUGGCUUGUGGCCAAUGCAGUGCUGCAGGGAAGCCGUUAAGUUUGCCGCCUGGGAAGUACGUACGCAAGUAUGAAACUUAAAGGAAUUGGCGGGGGAGCAC